CACAUCAGAAGCUAGUUCAGUUCAGUCGAUAAAGCGUCGCGAUCGUAUUCACACCGUUUUGCUUGGUUGCUCUCGUCUCUCGUGCCGUGUCGCGUUUCCUCAACCGUGUGUGCGGGAGCCCGCCUCCUAUGUUAAGGAGUUUGAGUUUUUUCCCAUCGAAAGGACCUACUUUGAUUGACGCGCGCGCGCGAUCAUUUUUGUUUUUGGUGCGUACGCGUGGUUGUUUUCCGGCGUGCGUGUGAAUGUGCGACGCUUACUUUGUUUUUCAAGAUCAGUGUCUUUUUUGACAGCGAUCGCUGUCCGGCGGAAGUUUACCGCUCAAAAAGUGUCAAGUUUGAAAAGUGCACUACAUGAUCGCGGUACGCGAGUGAAGGGGAUGUUUAUGGUGAUCUUCCCGGUAUACAACUGUAGUUAGUUGAAGUGAAUUUUAAUUGGACUUGGUUCUGACGGAAAGGAAGUCCAUUUCGGCCGUUGGAGGUCAUCAUAGUGCUUGUCAAGAUCGGUGAAUUGUGAAAGUGAAAAACAAGCGGGUGAAGAUCGUGCGAAAACAUCAGAAGAAAGGAAAUUUCAAGGAGAGCGAUAAAAAAGAAACGUGUUCUCGACGACGCGUUCGUCGUCUGUGUCGGUCGGAGAAAGAGUGGUCCUCGGGUGAGAGUGUUGUUGGGCGUUGCGAGUAAAAAUAGUUUGCUGGUUCAUUUUUUUAUCGCUUUCUGCCAUCAACUUCUGAGUGCCGAGUGUGCGAACUGUGUGUAUGUCAUUAAGUGUUUCAGUUAAUAGUAAAUAAAUGCUGGUUAACCCCCUUGCCGCCGCUUGACGCUCCGCUGCGAACGGGUUUUACACAGCAGCGCCAGAAGCGAAAAUAGUGCAUGACGCACUGUCACUCUUCUAACGAGAUUUGAACAACAAAGUAGGCAUCGUCCUACCUUGCCUGAACAAAGAAGAGUUUACUCGAUAGUAGACACGCGUAGACGAUCGAAGUCGGCGUAAAGGUUUACCGCAUUUUUUCCUCGUAUGAAUGUCCAAAUCGACCACGACCAAGAAUAGUUCAAAGCCCCAAUCCGUCAAACCGCCCCAGUAUGACAAAACUCUUCGAAGACUCCCGUGCCAUCGACGGCCAACAGCUGGUCGGGGGUGCAGACGGUGGUGACAUGGCUUGGGCGAAACUUCUGCCCGCCGGGGACCAGCAGAUCGAUGGUCCCGUUCCCAUUCUGGUGAAAUCCGCCGAAGACCGCGAAAAGGUCCCACGUGAUGUGUUGGUGACGAUUGAUCCGGACACAGGCAAGCAACAGGUCGACUCCAUAAAUCCGGCCCCCAACGGAAGGCGCCGGGAGUCCAUCAUCGGAACAUUCCACCGGCAGUUGCGGCAGUCGCUGAAGGAGGCUUCCGGACCGCUAACAAGAUACCGACAGACGCGGUUUUCGUCGCGACGCAUACGAAAGCGUGUGAUCUUCAAGCAAGGCGACUGCAACGUUGUCCAGGGAAAUGUCGCCAAACGAAGGCGACGCUACUUGCAGGAUAUAUUCACCACCCUGGUCGACAUCCAAUGGCGCUGGACGCUGUUGGUGUUCGCGCUAAGCUUCAUCCUGUCCUGGCUGGGAUUUGCCAUCAUUUGGUACCUGAUCGGGUACAGCCACGGCGAUAUGGCCGCCCACGCCAACGGAGACACUCAACACCAGCCGUGCGUUACGUUCAUCUACGGGUUCACGUCGGCAUUUCUGUUCUCGCUGGAAACGCAGCACACCAUCGGCUACGGCAACCGGUUCGUGACGGAGGAGUGUCCCGAGGCCGUAUUCAUCCUGGCCCUGCAGAGCAUCACCGGCGUGUUCAUCCAAGCAUUUAUGGUUGGCAUCGUGUUUGCCAAGCUAUCGCGCCCGAAGAAGCGCGCCCAGACGUUGCUGUUCUCGCGUAAUGCCGUUAUCUGCCAUCGGGAUGGGGUGCCGUGUUUGAUGUUCCGCGUCGGCGACAUGCGCAAGAGUCACAUUAUCGAGGCGCACGUUACGGCGCAGAUCAUCCGGCGGAAGAUUACAAAAGAAGGCGAAACGUUGCCUUUCUACCAGCAAAACAUGGAAGUCAGCUGCGAUGGUGGCGACGAACGGUUGAUGUUCAUCUGGCCGACGAUCGUAGUGCACAAAAUCGAUAAGAACAGCCCACUGUACAAUCUGUCCGCCCAGGACAUGCUGCGGGAGCGGUUCGAAAUAGUCGUCAUGCUUGAGGGAGUAGUGGAAUCCACCGGUAUGACAACCCAGGCCCGCAGUAGCUAUCUACCGUCGGAAGUGCUGUGGGGUCAUCGAUUCGAGUCCGUCGUUUCUUUCAAGCGGGAAACCGGAGAGUACGAGGUGGACUACACCAUGUUCAACAAUACGUACGAAGUGGAUACACCGCUGUGCAGCGCACGGCAACUGCACCAGGUCAAAGAGGAGCUCAACAAGCAAGGGCUAGUGCCUUCGUCCUCAGCGUCGUCUUCGAGUGACGAGUCGGACAAUUCGUCCACGUCCGAAGAUGCGGACAAGAGCCGGCAGCUACUGGCCAACGGUUAUCUGCAUUUCAAUGCCACGGAAACCCCCACGCUAAACAUCGUAGCCCGUAGUGCUCUGGUGAAUAGUGCAGCUAUCGGUGGUGGAGGUGGUGAAAAUGGCACAGGACUUGCCGAGGGAUCGCCCACGGCAAGUCCAAAGCAGCGCAACUUUCGAAAGCUUUCCAUCAAGGAACCUUUGAUGGACUCGCUGUGCUGAGAGAAGGGGGAGAAAGCUUAGCGCGGAUAGGGGUAUGUUGCAGCAGGCUGUGGGAUUCGUGGUUUUUUUUUGCGAUGAAUCCAAGGAUGCCAUGGUGCCAGGGUUAACCGAUGAUACCGAUGAGAGUUCCAGCUCGGUCGCCACUUUAGAACAAGAACAACUACCGAUCUGCCGAGCGGAACUCGUUGAUGAACUGUAGCACUGUGUAGAGGUGAACAAAAAAUUGAAUCGCAGAUCUUUCCAAUUCAACCUAGCUCAGUGUAGGUCGUAAGUGUUUUUUGCUGUAAUUUUAAUUCAAAGAAUAGCGCAAAGUUUGUUUUUAGAAAUUUGUUACGAAGAUUUUCAUAUGAAAGUUUUUUUUACGUAAUGAUCAACACAAAGUGAGACAGAGAAGCUAUAAAGAAGAUGAAUAAAAUUCAUCGAUUAGGCAUUAAGUGAAAAGUUU